AGACAACUGGCUUUCUAUUAUUUCUUUUCUAUCGAGAUGCUGUCCGAGGAUGGUUAUGUUAGUCGUUGCAGGGUAUUUUCUUUGACAUUGUCUUCAUGAAAAAAGGUUGGUGGAGAUCGUUCUCAACAUGAAGUGCUAAGUCAACAAGUGCCUGUGAUGAGGUCUACCAUGUUCUGAGAUGAAAAUGUGCAGAAAACAGGAAAUCUGAAAUGGAUUCCUUGGUCAGUCUGGAGCUGUUAAUGGUGGUGAUGUCUGGUGUGCAGUGGUGUGGCAGUUAUUUUCUGAUUGAGAGAUUAACUGAAAUGGAUCUUUUGAGGACUUGCAGUUCAACUUCAGACUUCAAUUUACCAUGCUGGUGUCCAUGCAGUGUUGAGCUUUUGUGCAAGAUAGUUGGUGUUGCCUGAUGGUUGUCUGGCAUUUGUUGUCUCUUGCUACCUGUACCCACAUUGAGUUCAAUCGGAUGCCGCCGUUCCACACUUGAUCCACUGGUGAAGCUGAGGAGAAGUUGCUGAAAUUCAAGACUAAAAAUUAUUUAAAUUUAGACCAAUUAAAGAUGCAUAUCUUUUGUCCCUUUUCCCUAAGUAAACAACAUGUCCUCAGUUGGUUGGUUGUGUGAAAUUCAGUAAUGUUAUGAUGGAAUAUGGAGUUGCAAUGAGAUUUGAUAAUUUCUGAGAGAUUCGUUAAACUACAAACUUAAACUGAUCCAAUUAACUACUUUCUCCAUAACAAUUCUUAACAUUUUGCUCUAAAUCAGAACCAUGACCUUUAAAAAAAUAAAUUAUUGAAACCAA